GAUGAACGCUGGCGUCGUGCCUAAUACAUGCAAGUCGAGCGAACGGACGAGAAGCUUGCUUUUCUGAUGUUAGCGGCGGACGGGUGAGUAACACGUGGAUAACCUACCUAUAAGACUGGGAUAACUUCGGGAAACCGGAGCUAAUACCGGAUAAUAUUUUGAACCGCAUGGUUCAAAAGUGAGAGACGGUCUUGCUGUCACUUAUAGAUGGAUCCGCGCUGCAUUAGCUAGUUGGUAAGGUAACGGCUUACCAAGGCAACGAUGCAUAGCCGACCUGAGAGGGUGAUCGGCCACACUGGAACUGAGACACGGCCCAGACUCCUACGGGAGGCAGCAGUAGGGAAUCUUCCGCAAUGGGCGAAAGCCUGACGGAGCAACGCCGCGUGAGUGAUGAAGGUCUUCGGAUCGUAAAACUCUGUUAUUAGGGAAGAACAUAUGUGUAAGUAACUGUGCACAUCUUGACGGUACCUAAUCAGAAAGCCACGGCUAACUACGUG
rnacentral:rRNA from 1 species